rnacentral:rRNA from 1 species
UAGGGAAUCUUCGGCAAUGGACGAAAGUCUGACCGAGCAACGCCGCGUGAGUGAAGAAGGUUUUCGGAUCGUAAAACUCUGUUGGUAGAGAAGAACGUUGGUGAGAGUGGAAAGCUCAUCAAGUGACGGUAACUACCCAGAAAGGGACGGCUAACUACGNGCCAG